rnacentral:rRNA from 1 species
UGGGGAAUCUUGCGCAAUGGGCGAAAGCCUGACGCAGCAACGCCGCGUGGAGGAAGAAGGCCUUCGGGUUGUAAACUCCUGUCAGGGGGAAAGAAGGCACCUGGGUGAAUAGCCCAAGGGCUGACGGUACCCCCAGAGGAAGCCACGGCUAACUACGUGCCAGCAGCCGCGGUAAUACGUAGGUGGCGAGCGUUGUCCGGAAUUAUUGGGCGUAAAGAGCGCGUAGGCGGCUUGCCAGGUCCGACGUGAAACCCCGGGGCUCAACUCCGGACGUGCAUCGGAAACCGGCUUGCUAGAGUCUGGGAGAGGGGAGUGGAAUUCCUGGUGUAGCGGUGAAAUGCGCAGAUAUCAGGAGGAAUACCGGUAGCGAAGGCGGCUCCCUGGAACAGUACUGACGCUGAGGCGCGAAAGCUAGGGGAGCGAACAG